rnacentral:pre_miRNA from 12 species
CCACCACUUUAACAUGGAGGCGCUUGCUGUAUCAUCUUAAGAAUAAGUGCUUCCAUGUUUUAGUGUUGG